AGCGAACGCUGGCGGCAGGCCUAACACAUGCAAGUCGAACGAAGUCUUCGGACUUAGUGGCGGACGGGUGAGUAACACAUGGGAACGUACCUUUUGGUUCGGAAUAACUGAGGGAAACUUCAGCUAAUACCGGAUAAGCUCUUCGGAGGAAAGAUUUAUCGCCAUUAGAGCGGCCCGCGUUGGCUUAGGUAGUUGGUGUGGUAAAGGCGCACCAAGCCUACGAUCCAUAGCUGGUCUGAGAGGAUGAUCAGCCACACUGGGACUGAGACACGGCCCAGACUCCUACGGGAGGCAGCAGUGGGGAAUCUUGCGAAAUGGUCGAAAGACUGACGCAGCCAUGCCGCGUGAAUGAUGAAGGUCUUAGGAUUGUAAAAUUCUUUUAGCAGGGACGAUAAUGACGGUACCUGCAGAAAAAGCCCCGGCUAACUUCGUGCCAGCCGCCGCUGUAA
rnacentral:rRNA from 1 species